CUACGGAGGGGGCUAGCGUUGUUCGGAAUUACUGGGCGUAAAGCGCGCGUAGGCGGAUUGGUCAGUUGGGGGUGAAAUCCCGAGGCUUAACCUCGGAACUGCCCUCAAUACUACCGAUCUAGAGUCCGGAAGAGGUGAGUGGAAUUCCUAGUGUAGAGGUGAAAUUCGUAGAUAUUAGGAAGAACACCAGUGGCGAAGGCGGCUCACUGGUCCGGUACUGACGCUGAGGUGCGAAAGCGUGGGGAGCAAACAGGAUUAGAAACCCGAGUAGUCC
rnacentral:rRNA from 1 species